GACGAACGCUGGCGGCGUGCCUAACACAUGCAAGUCGAGCGAGGAACUUCGGUUCCUAGCGGCGGACGGGUGAGUAACACGUGGGUAACCUGGCUCAUAGAGGGGGAUAGCCUUCCGAAAGGGAGAUUAAUACCGCAUAAGAAGUGAGAAUCGCAUGGUUCUAGCUUUAAAGGAGUAAUCCGCUAUGAGAUGGGCCCGCGGCGCAUUAGCUAGUUGGUGAGGUAACGGCUCACCAAGGCGACGAUGCGUAGCCGACCUGAGAGGGUGAUCGGCCACAUUGGAACUGAGACACGGUCCAGACUCCUACGGGAGGCAGCAGUGGGGAAUAUUGCACAAUGGGCGAAAGCCUGAUGCAGCAACGCCGCGUGAGUGAUGACGGCCUUCGGGUUGUAAAGCUCUGUCUUUGGGGACGAUAAUGACGGUACCCAAGGAGGAAGCCACGGCUAACUACGUGCCAGCCGCCGCGGUAAUAC
rnacentral:rRNA from 1 species